rnacentral:rRNA from 1 species
UACGGAGGGUGCAAGCGUUGUCCGGAUUUAUUGGGUUUAAAGGGUGCGUAGGCGGCCCUGUAAGUCAGUGGUGAAAUACUGCAGCUUAACUGUAGCAUUGCCAUUGAUACUGCAGGGCUUGAGUACAGAUGAGGUAGGCGGAAUUGAUGGUGUAGCGGUGAAAUGCAUAGAUACCAUCAAGAACACCGAUUGCGAAGGCAGCUUACUAAGCUGUAACUGACGCUGAGGAGCGAAAGCGUGGGGAGCGAACAGG